ensembl:lncRNA
GCAAACUUUUACAAAAUAAGACUUAUAAUGUAUUUAAGUUGUCUACUACCAUAGCAAACCUUAAAAACUCUCUACUGAGAAUACAGCUAAAACCAGCCUAAGCUGAUCAGUUGCUUUGGCUAGUCUCCCAAGCUGGUUUUUAAGUGUUUUUGGCCACUGUCACGCUGGUCUUAGCUGGUUUCUAACUGAAUCAACUAGUUUUACCUGGAUUAACAUAGAAACAUGCUAGUCACUUGCUAGUCAUGCUAGAAACAUGCUAGUCACUUGGUAAUCAUGCUAAAAAAAUACUAGUCACUUUGCUAAUCAUGAUAACAAAAUGCUAGUCACUUUGUUAAUCAUGCUAAAAACAUGCUAGAAACAUGCUACAAACAUGCUAGUCAUGCUAGCAACAUGCUAGAGACAUGCUAGUCAUGUUAACAGCAUGCUAGUCACUUGCUACUUAUGCUAGCAACAUGCUAAUCACUUGCUAAUCAUGCUAACAACAUGCUAGUCUCUUGUUAAUCAUGGUAACAACAUGCUAGUAACUUUGCUAAUCAUGCUAAAAACAUGCUAAUAACAUGCUAGUCACUUGCUAAUCAUGCUAAUGGCAUGCUCGUCAUGCUAGAGACAUGCUAGAGACACGCUAGUCAAGCUAGCAACAUGCUAGUAACUUUGCUAGUCAUGUUAGUGACAUGCUAGUCGCAUGCUAAUCAUGCUAGCAAAAUGCUAGUCGCAUACUAAUCAUGCUAAAAACAUGUUAGCAACAUACAAACAACAUGCUAAUCAUGUUAGAAA